UGGAUUAUAACAGCUUGGUUUUUACAAUCACAAACUCACAGGUAAUUUCCCAUUUAUUGGUUUUCCGGUGAGCUUUCCGACAGUAAAAUUAUAUUACUUUUUUAAUUUUGAUGUAUUUUCAGUGUUUUUUUUCCCGUUGAACGUCAUCAAUUUGGGGUCUAGGGUUCCUCGUUUCUUCUCCCUCUCUUUUACUAAAUUCAAUGCAACCAAACUCAAUAAUACUUCAAAUCUCCUCUUUCACUACUCGUUAAUCACUGGUCGGCUAAAGAUCGGUGACCACAUUUUCAACCCAAAAUCAUUUUG
rnacentral:lncRNA from 1 species